rnacentral:rRNA from 1 species
AUUGAACGCUGGCGGCAGGCCUAACACAUGCAAGUCGAGCGGAUGAAGGGAGCUUGCUCCUGGAUUCAGCGGCGGACGGGUGAGUAAUGCCUAGGAAUCUGCCUGGUAGUGGGGGAUAACGUCCGGAAACGGGCGCUAAUACCGCAUACGUCCUGAGGGAGAAAGUGGGGGAUCUUCGGACCUCACGCUAUCAGAUGAGCCUAGGUCGGAUUAGCUAGUUGGUGGGGUAAAGGCCUACCAAGGCGACGAUCCGUAACUGGUCUGAGAGGAUGAUCAGUCACACUGGAACUGAGACACGGUCCAGACUCCUACGGGAGGCAGCAGUGGGGAAUAUUGGACAGUGGGCAAAAGCCUGAUCCAGCCAUGCCGCGUGUGUGAAGAAGGUCUUCGGAUUGUAAAGCACUUUAAGUUGGGAGGAAGGGCAGUAAGUUAAUACCUUGCUGUUUUGACGUUACCAACAGAAUAAGCACCGGCUAACUUCGUG